rnacentral:lncRNA from 1 species
GCGAGGGUCAGGUGGCUCCUCCUCUCUGCGAGUUUCAAGAAGGGGAAAUGGUGACCUUGCCGAUUUAAGGUCCGAUCAGGAAGUAAGCAAUAGGGUCCGGCUGCGGUGGUUUGGAAGCGCGCCACCGUGGAUAGCAAGCUCGAGAACCAGAUCAGAAAGUGAGGAGAACGAAAUGCUCAGCGGACACUGGCAACAGAGGUCAUCAUAUGACAACAUCUCUUUGAAGCCCUGAGUUCUAUUGAAUUCUACCGCUUUCCAAAGAUGACACAAUCUCCUUGGAGCUGUGACCUGCUUUCUUCUGUUCUACACUCUGAUGAUGCACUAUCAAAAAUAUGUCUUUUGUUACAUAAAAUCAUCCACAGAAGUAUUUAUGUAUAUGUUUUUCUCUCUUUCUUCAAGUGACUUUAUCAAAACUGCAGACAACACUCAAAUUCUGAUGAAUGCUUUCUGAUUAGUUAACAUCUAAUUGGUUUAAUAAGUGAUAAAGUACAGAUAAAGGAGGUUAUGAUAAAAAAUUAAAACUGUAAAUCAGUUCAGACUUUUUGCUAAACAAUAGAAGAAGGCUAUCCGACAACAAAUGUAAAGGUAAGUUGAUAACAGGAUGCUUUGGCUAAGAAUAUAGUUGUGUGGCAUGAAAUAAGGUUUGGAUAUGAACCUCAGAAAAACCUGCAACAAGAUACUGAAAAGGCAUGUAAAAAGACAUGUAAAAUCAGUGACAACAGGUAAAAUACUGGCGACAGAUUGGGAUGGAAAUAUUGAGUAAAUCAGCAUAGUACCCUCUCACUGUGCAUAUUUCCCUGUGUAGAAUCAGUUUUAAUAAGGAGG